AGCGCGGCCUUUACCUGUUGGUGGCCGGACGCCGCCGCUGCCACAGCCGUUGCCAGGGCCGCCAUCUUGAAGCCGAGCAGCGGUUCAAGCCACAUCUCUCAACGGGCUACCAUCGAUGAAGAAGUCCAGCUCUGGGUCAUCUGCGCCAAUUCCGCCUUCUUCAAGCUGCAACAACAUGUCUUCAAAAAUAGAGACCUUCGAAAGUCAAUGAAGGUCCUGGUUUACAAGGCUGUCGUGCUGGCCACCCUCUACUGCAGUGAAACCUGGACCAUCUGCUGACACCACAUUAAGACCCUCAAGAGCUUUCACCAGCAGUGCUUGCAUUAAAUCCUGGGGAUCAAAUGGGAGGACCACCGGACCAGUGCGAGCGUCCUCCGUGAAGCGGCGUCCACCAGCAUCGAAGCCUUGCUCUUGAGAAAUCAGCUCUGAUGGAUGGGCCGCUGCAUCCAGAUGUCUGAGAACCACCUCCCUCACCAGAUUCUCUUUUCCCAGCUCUCCGUUGGUCAACGCUCAAAGGAAACGGUACAAAGACACACUCAAGGUCACCCUCAAGCAGAGAUUGACACCAAUGGCUGGGAGGAGCAAGCUGCUGACCAUUCGGUGUGGCAUCGCCUGGUCCACCAAGGCACACACCACUUCGAGGCCCAAUGAGUUGAUACUGAGGCGGAACAGCGGUGGCAGAGGAAGGAGAAUGAGACCAAUCUGGGGCUGCAAAUCCCACUCCCUUGCACAACAACAUGCCUCCAUUGCUGAAGAAUGUCUAUAUCUAGAAUCAGACUCCUCAGUCACCUGAGGACCCAUCAAACCUGACAGAUGUCAUCCUUGACUCCAAGUGAUUGCUGACAAUCACUCAGGAUGCAGCAUAGCCCAGGGGAGGAGUCUGGGAGGAUGCCUCCACUGUGCAUGGGUUUUCUGGAAGGCAAUUAUAAGAAAGACUCAAGUUACCCCAAAAUAUUAACAUGUUAACACAUGCCAAGGCACACCCCCUCAAUGGCUAACUUACCAUGUGCUGCACCUGCUGCUACACCUCUUGCAAUAUGGGUGGGUGCUGGGAUUUGUGUGGUUGAGGGGCUCAGAGGGCAGUGGGGUAAGCAUUACCACCAUAGGCGGUGGUGGUGGUAGAACAACCAUCACUGUAUAUAUGGCAAUCACAGGGGGGUCGUGACUCUGCCCUGACUCCGGACCACGCUAUCACCACCACAAGAUCCCAGCCUGGCCCCAGAGCAGGUCCCCCUUCUGCUGCAUGCCCUGCCAGCGCUGCUGGGGCCAGUCUCCACAGAAACCCUGGUCCCACACUAUCAUGAUAGCAUGGCUGCUGCUGGGAUCUCCAAGGAAACUGGCCCCAGCCAGGCAGGUGUCACAACCCAAAGUUGUGAUUUUUUGUUUGUGUGUGUUUUGGCACUGCUAAAUUAUUUUUCUGCUAAAUUGCAGCUUCUUUGCAUGGUGGAGUUUUCUGCUGCAGAAGAGAACCCCAGUGCAACGGAGAAUUCCCGCCAAUUUGUAGCUUUCUUUGCAUGGUGCAUUUCUUUUUGCAUCUAAGAAAUGCUCGGUGCAAAGAGUUCCCGCCAUUUGUAUUCAAAUUAGAGCCACAUUAUUGGUUCACAUUAAAUUAUGUACACGUGGCGGCUAGCGAUUGGCUUGCUAGCCAUAUAAAGAGCUUGAGUGGUUUCCGCCCAAGUUGGAGGACUCCACUAACACCAGGAGGAGGAGACUUCACGCUGUGUGAAGAUCUCUAAGCGCUGCAGAUCCUUACGGACCCAACGCAUUUCUUAAAAGGCAACAGGGGCCUGACCAGCCUCUGGCCUCUCCCCGUCGCUGAUAGAUUCCUAGACGUAUCCCUUCCUGCGAGAAAAAAAAAACGGACCCACGGAGCUUCAAUAACUCCGUGCAAGAGAGCGAACUUGUCGUAAUCCUCAAACGAGGAUUUAAGUGGAGCUGUGCCUGGAAAAUUGUCCAGCCUACACCACGACCAUCUUUGGUGUAAGUAAACAAUCUUUAAAUCAA